GCCGGGGUGGCGGAAUUGGUAGACGCGGCAGACUCAAAAUCUGUUGCCCGAUGAGGGCGUGCGGGUUCGAGUCCCGCUCCCGGCACCA
rnacentral:tRNA from 1 species